ACAUAGCCCCGAUGGUAGCGACAUCCUUUUUUGCAAAAAAAGAUAUAGCGGACAGCGGGUCGGAAU
rnacentral:sRNA from 1 species